GUGAUAUUUAUGAGGAAAAAAAUAUCAUUUAAACCUAAUGAAAAGGUUUUGCUGUGGAGUAGUUUAUCCCGCAGGAAAACUAUGCUGAUCAGGUGUCUACUCUAAGUUCGGCAUCAAAAUGGUGACCUCCAGGGAGUGAUGGGGAGCACCAGGUUGCCUAAGGAGGGGUGAACCGAUCCAGGUCGGAAACAGAGCAGGUCAAAACUCCUGUGCUGAUCAGCAGGAAAGCAAUCUUAUGAACACUGUGCCUUUAUGUGUAUUAGGAUUUGGAGCAU
rnacentral:SRP_RNA from 1 species